GUUCAGUGUGGGAGAAAGAACUCUUGUCUGCCUGAGGCAAGUGUGAAUGUUGAAACUGACCAGCUUGAUUAGCAUUGAAUGGACUUGCAGCUUCAAAGCCUAGCUGCUUCCUGCCCAGGGAGAAUUCUUUGUUGGGAGGUGUUAACUGACCCUCAUUGUUUCUUGUCUGGUUAACACCACCCAUCCCAACAAAGGAUUCUCCCAGCCAUGAAGCAGCCAGGCUUUGAAGCUGCAGGUCUACUCAAUGCUAUCAAGCUGGCCAAUUACAACAUUCACACUUGCCUCAUGUGGACAAGAAUGUGGACAAUUUUAACAAAAAGGAGGAUGCCAUGAAGAUGAACAAAAUCUGGCUAUCAGUAUUUUAAAAGCUCUAAAAUUAGAACAGUAAAUAAAGAGCAAGACUCAAAAAGAAGGGGAAUUCAAGACAAGAAUCAAUUGGGGCCAGCUAACACCUCCCAACAAAAGAUUCCCCCAGGCAGCUACCGGCCAGACUUUGAAACUGUGGGCCAUUAAAAUGUUUGUCGAAGGCUUUCAUGGCCAGACUCACAGCAACCCAUUAAUCAAAGUGGCAAAUUGCAACAUUCACACCUACCUCAAGCAGGCAAGAGUUCUUUCCCCCACCCUGGACAUUCCACAGAUAUAUAAACCUCACUUACUUAGUUUCCAACAGACCCCUCAACCUCUGAGGAUGCCUGCCAUCGAUGUGGGAAAAACAUUAGAAGAGAAUGCUUCUGGAACAUGGCCAUACAGAUCAGAAAACUCAGAACAAUUCAGACUCUCACCCUGAACAUUCCACAGAUAUAGAAACCCACUUGCCUAGUUUUCAAGAGACCCCAAAUCUCUGAGGAUACCUGUUAAAGAUGCAGGUGAAACGACAGGAGAGAAUGCUUCUGGAACAUGGCCAUACAGCCCGGAAAACUCACAGCAAGCUAGUGAUUCCAGCCAUGAAAGCCUUUGACAACACAUUGAUCAAUACAUUGCUUUUCCCUUAGUGUGAAAAAAAUGAAGGGGAAAAG
rnacentral:lncRNA from 1 species